UACAGAGGUCUCAAGCGUUGUUCGGAUUCAUUGGGCGUAAAGGGUGCGUAGGCGGCGCGGUAAGUCGGGUGUGAAAUCUUGGAGCUUAACUCCGAAACUGCAUUCGAUACUGCCGUGCUUGAGGACUGGAGAGGAGAGUGGAAUUCCCGGUGGUAGCGGUGAAAUGCGUAGAGAUCAUGAGGAAGACCAGUGGCGAAGGCGGGUCUCUGGACAGUUCCUGACACUGAGACACGAAGGCCAGGGGAGCAAACGGG
rnacentral:rRNA from 1 species